rnacentral:ncRNA from 1 species
CCCACCACUCACGUGGUGGGCUAUCUCGUUCCGAGCCUGUGGCACU